GUUAGGAAUAUUGGACAAUGGGGGCAACCCUGAUCCAGCCAUGCCGCGUGCGGGAAGAAGGCCUUCGGGUUGUAAACCGCUUUUGUCAGGGAAGAAAUCCUUUGGGUUAAUACCUCGGAGGGAUGACGGUACCUGAAGAAUAAGCACCGGCUAACUACGUGCCAGCAGCCGCGGUAAUACGUAGGGUGCGAGCGUUAAUCGGAAUUACUGGGCGUAAAGCGUGCGCAGGCGGUUUUGUAAGAUCGAUGUGAAAUCCCCGGGCUCAACCUGGGAACUGCAUUGGUGACUGCAAGGCUGGAGUGCGGCAGAGGGGGAUGGAAUUCCGCGUGUAGCAGUGAAAUGCGUAGAUAUGCGGAGGAACACCGAUGGCGAAGGCAAUCCCCUGGGCCUGCACUGACGCUCAUGCACGAAAGCGUGGGGAGCAAACAGGAUUAGAAACCCGGGUAGUCC
rnacentral:rRNA from 1 species